rnacentral:rRNA from 1 species
AGAGUUUGAUCCUGGCUCAGAAUGAACGCUGGCGGCGUGCUUUACACAUGCAAGUCGAGCGAGGCGGGUAGCAAUACCCAGUCGAGCGGCGAACGGGUGAGUAACGCGUGGAUGACCUGCCCUUCAGCGGGGAAUAACCCGGGGAAACUCGGGCUAAUACCGCAUACGACCGAGAGGUGAAAGGGGGCUCGCAAGGGCUCUCACUGAAGGAGGGGUCCGCGUCCGAUUAGCUAGUUGGUAGGGUAAUGGCCUACCAAGGCGACGAUCGGUAGCCGGCCUGAGAGGGUGAUCGGCCACACUGGAACUGAGACACGGUCCAGACUCCUACGGGAGGCAGCAGUGGGGAAUUUUGCGCAAUGGGCUAACGCCUGACGCAGCAACGCCGCGUGGAGGAUGAAGGUCUUUGGAUUGUAAACUCCUGUCAGCAGGGAAAAAGCGACCUGACCUCAUACGUCAGGGAGUUGAUUGUACCUGCAGAGGAAGCCCCGGCUAACUCUGUGCCAGCAGCCGCGGUAAUACAGAGGGGGCAAGCGUUAUUCGGAAUUAUUGGGCGUAAAGGGCGCGUAGGCGGCCGUUCAAGUGGCGGGUGAAAUCCCUCGGCUUAACCGAGGAACUGCCUGCCAGACUGGAUGGCUUGAGACCGGGAGAGGUGAGUGGAAUUCCCAGUGUA